GGGAGCGCGCGGCGGGAACCGCUCCGCCGGCAUCACCUCACGGCCCCGCGGGUCGGGCGCCUCCGUCCUCACACCGGCGCCUGCGGGAGCCCAGGUGGAGGCCAAACUCGAGUUCCAACCCCCUCCCCGUGCAUGCAAACGGCUUUUAACGCCGCUUACGUUACCCUUCAGCCGCCUCAGCCCCACCUGCGGGAGGACGAAGCUGAGGGGCCGCCGGGAGAGGCGCGAGGCCCUGUGAGGCGGCUGCCCCCGGCGCGACGCUGUGAGGAAGCACGGCAGGCAAUUAGCAUGCACAUGGAAGUUAAAUUACUGAUCUGGGAAAAUAAUCAAGAAAUCAGCUGAGUUGAGGAGAACGCGAACGUGUAGCUGCAAGGAACCAGGAUCUGAGGAGUAAAACUUGCACACCACUUAGCCAGCGUUCCUGCCUGGGUAAGCAGAAUGCACAGCCCUGGGAACAAUUUUCAGAAGGAUGUUAAGGGCCCCACUUAUCGAAAUCGACACCCAAGAGACAGAAUCCUGUCACCCAUCCUACUCCACACAGCUCUAACUCAGACAGCCUACUUCACUCCAGGUGCCUCACUGUUUUCUUCUCUCCUUCCUUCCCUCCAGCAUACCUAGGAAGUCAAUCAAAACAGGUAAACCUUUCUCAGAGGACUGGCAUGCUUCCCAGUCCUUAUCACCACUGUCCUCCUAUUGGGGAUUUCAAACAAUAUUAAUGGUGGCAUAAGCUGAGCUAUCACAGCUUUUAAAGGAGAAAGUGUCAGAGGGCUCUGUGGGAGAAGCACUGUGUCAGCUAGAUAUGCUUGAAACUAUUCUUAGAGCAUCAGUGAAAAAUAAUGUCCUUCUGGUAAGCACAUGCGCGUGGUACACUUAAUAAGAAACCUGGGUGAAACUGGAGUGAAGUACAGGAAGUUCACUAUGUGCCACUAUCACACGAUGUUUGAAAACUUCAGGUAUUAUGGUAUAUUUUUACUAAGUGUAACUAGGUGGAUCUCUGAGCAGGUACAAAGCAAUCAGAGAGCUCAAGCCUACAUUCUAGAUUUGUCCUUCAAUAAAAAGUAAUGUCUUCCCCAUCAAUAACACCACUAACACAAACCUGCAACAGCAAUUCUAAAAAUUAGCUAAUUAAAGCUCUAGUCAUCAAAGGAGCAAGGAUGACCACGUGCUACUUUGUGACCUGCCAGAAAGGAGCUACCCUGAAGGGAAAGGCAGCAGCUGUUUCCCAGCACAUAAGAGAAGUCAGUAUACUGCAGAGCAAAGCUGCUUUCAAACAAAACUGGGAGGAGUGUUAUGGGAUUGCUUGGGAAUGCAGCUGGAAAUGGGCCAGCACUUAGAACGCAUGAAGGCUGGUACUGUAUAAAUGGUAGAAAUAGGAGCAGCUGCUUAGAUAGGAAAAUAUUGUUUGGUCUACGUGUGAAUUCAUCACAUGGUAUUAUUAAAAAAAUGACCCACUAUUAGGUCAAAAAACAGUUAAGACUGAGAUAGCAUAUUUUGGUGUAAACUUGCAGGUCCUCUCUUUUUUCAAGAGUUCUCAUUUUGCUUUGGAAAAGCUUUUUGCACUACCACUGAGGAGGUGAGUUUUAGUCAGGCUUUGUUUUGUGCCAAAUAUCAUAGAAUUGGACUCUGAAAGGAUGGCAGGAACUAACCUAGGUCAGCAGCGUGGCCAGAGGGCAAAGCAAUGGCUUUGGUUUGGAAGCUGGAGGACAAGGAAGCGGUCAAACACAACCAAUCCUGUCCCUGCAGGUAGAAACACUUCUCCCAGCUCAGAUAAAUCACCACUUCUAACACAAAACAUACUGUGGAUCUGUGGGGCAUAGCAACCUUGUAUGGUUCCUUGUAAGAGGAGGCAGAGAACAAUGCUCUUUCCACAGAAAGAGCUAAAAAUGGGACCUUCUGCAGCAAGUCAACACAGGGGACAAAGACAGAGCUGACCUCAGGAAGAAGAGUUGUUUCCCCUAUGAAACUGCAUAACAGACAGACUUCUUGGCAGUGACAGGAGCUCUGCCAGACACAAGUAUGCUCCCCUCCUUCCCAAGGGCACAUUAGUCUAGAUGGGGCAGAAUUAUCGGCUACAGUUUUACAUCACCGUCUGCCCGAACCUUUACCUUAGCAAAUUUUGAAAGGCUUUGUUUACACAGAUGGACACAACAUGGCCUUCACUUCCAGCGAGAAUCAGCUAGAGGAAGCAUAUGAAUGAAAGAGCAGGUACAGGAUAUUGAGUUGUUCCCAAAAGAUAGAGCCAAAAGAUACAACAAAAGGAACCACAACUCAUGUUUUCAGUCAUACUAAAGAUGUAACAUUUUGUUCCAGUCUUUUGCUGACCUGAACACUUGCAGAGAUGCAAAUAGUCAUGACUGCAAAAUCCUCUCUUAAUUAUCCAAAGCAAUCCUGUCAGCAGGAAUAAACUUCUAAAAUGCAUUUUCUACAACUGGGAAACAAACUCCUGAGCCGCAGUAAUCACUGGGUAUCAACCACAGUAUGAGAGCUAUGCAGAAUGUUUUGGUCUUCACGCUAACUUGCUGCAAUGAAAUCUGACAAUAUAUUCUCUAAUAUAUUCUCUACUCUCUAUUAAUCAUAUCCCAAUUUUCAUUGUUUUAUAACCAUCCUGGAAACAAAAAUUAAAUCCAGAUCUAUUUUCCACAUACUUGUUGAAAGACUGAGUUGACUUAUAAAAAGGCUCACAAGCAAGCAUACAAAUAUAUUACCAGUGUGAAUUUCUCUUACCCACUGGGCAAAUAAAUACACUUGAGAAAUUCCAGAGAGCCCACUCUGUGCAACAAGUUUUGUGCAUAUUUAUUUUUAUAUAAUAAAACUUAUUUUUGUGCAAUAAGUUUUGCCAUAUACUGAGACAGCUCCAGCCCUGCCAUCAGUUCGUAUCCAGGGUAAGGGCCACACAAAAUCAAACAUGCUGCUCCAUCUUUCCCCCUCCCCACCCCUUCUUUACUUCCCCAUGUCAGAAGCAGAAGGGAAACGAGCACCCUAUUCAAAGGUACAAGUGAUUCAUUUUUGCAUUUCCAAGAGCCACUGAGACCUGAAAACUCUGUGCAGCUCUUGCAGCAAUUUGAAGCUGACGCCUGUUGCGCUCAGGCCUGAAUGGAUGGGAGAAUGAGUUAGCUGCUGUGGAUGUGGAGAAUCACUGUCAGAUAAUGCUUGGCACAGCUCACAAGUAAAGGGGCCAUGUGGAAAGGCAAAACCUUACUGGAAUAACGAGACCAUGUUCUCAGCAGAUCUUUGUCCCAGGCAUGCAGCCGAGCACAAUUCUGCACUGUAAUGAUGUGGUGUAUUUUCCUCCUCUUCUCCCUCUCUGAAGGUCACACAAGGACAACCCUUUCUGUUCCCACUAAAAGCCUUCUUGCAUGCAGGAUUCUUCACAUGGGAAGGAAGAGCAUGACAUGUCCCCACCCUAUGCUUUUCCUUUUCAAAGGGUGAGGCUACUACAAGGCUAAAAUUUCAAUAAAAAGGAGAUUGAGAUGGAGGCAGAUGAGAUAUCCCUCUUGUAAUGUUCAGAGGAAAAUGAUCCUGCAAAGCACAGCUCUUACUAAGAACAGAAAUUAAAAUUUCCUUAAAUAAAUAUAAGGAAAGAGUCCGUGAGGGACAGUAGCUGACAGAAACGAGAUGUGUUCAGGUCAGCCCCCCUUGUCCAUCGCCUUGCAGAUCUCCCAGGCAGAUUGAGUCAAUGGGCAGGCCAGCUUAGGACAGGACUGGUGGCUUUGUGUCGCUGCUCCUAUCUACGCCAUCUGCAGACAGAAACAGUUGUCAGGUCUUUGCAAGGAAACUGCAGCUUUGAAGGACACACGGAGUGGCUGUGACUUCCUCUACAGAGAGACCAGAAGUUACUUACAUCCGUAAACAUUUAUCCUUCCCUCCACUUGCUACCCUCUGUCCAUCUGGGCUCCAAUCUGUUGCAAAAACCUAGUGUAAGGAGAGACCCAGUUAGUCCUGCUGUCCUGGAAAGAUCAGUCAUCCCCACCUCCAACACCCCAGCUUGACUGGACACUCACCUCAUCUGCAUGGCCAGGAAGAUCAAUGGCCAGUUUCUUUGUCUCAGCAUCCCAGACCUUCAGCGUGCUGUCACUGCUUCCACUCACUAGCAAGCGGCUGUCAGCUGACCAGGCAAUCUGAUACACAGCUGAGACGUGCCCCCUCAGUGAUGUCAGGUACCUGAGGCAGAGGAGGCACAACCAAGCUGUUAGAGGAGCAGGCACCCAAGUUUGUCUCAAACCCACUCUUGUGUUGCCUUCAUAGUUCAUCAUAGAAUCAUUGUUUUUCAGCUGCAAUCAAGCCCUGCCAUGGGAUGCCCAGCACACUCCAAUCCUGUGCACACAAGGCAGCCAACUACUAUACAGAAUCCACUCAAUAUGUGUUAAAUCCCUUCCAGAUAGGUUCAGACCAUUCUAGAGGACAGGCUCUUUACCUCAAUUCCUCCACCACCAGCAGGCAAUGCUGCAGCCUCACUGUACAAGUGUGUCCUUUAUCCCUCUAGCUUAACAGGAACAUGCCUAGGCUUAGAAAGACCACUAAAUUACUGACACAAAACCAGAGAUCUUAGGUACAAAGACAGAACAAGGGAAGGACUGCUGCUCCAGGAAGCUCACUGAUACUCUGUCAGGAGGUUAAAAGCUGGAUUGCAGGGGCAUCCAAACACCAACAGCAUCACUCAUAGUUACACAAAUUUCCUUUAUCCAGAACAAGCUGUUCCCUGGCACGGGCACUGUUUAAACUGGGUCACUCUACAGUGUGCAACACGCACAUGUCUUCAGGAGAGCAGUCAAGUGGAACAUCCCACCCCACUAUAGCCAUGCCUGCCCCAGAGAACCAUCCCUGCAGCAGACAGCAUGUGUCAUUUGGGUGCAGUGCUGCGGCUGGGUAAAAGCAGAGCCACAUACACCCAGCCAAGCACAGACCAUGCAACACAUGAGGAGCCAGACAAGGGACCUUUCAAGGGCAGAAAGUGACAGCAGCAGAGCAAAGAGGGAGCAGAAUAUCUUUGAGAUGCUGAACACACCAAGGAGCUGCUGACAACGACAAUGGGGUGCUGCUGAUUUCUGCAUAACCUGUGCAUCACACACAGACCCAAACACCACCUUUGUAACAGAACAACAAAAAAAACUCACUUUCCUGUCCUGCCCUCCCAGAGCUUUAUUGAUUUGUCAAAGGAAGCACUGGCUAUUAUCCGGGUGUCUGGUGAGAAGAGGACUUGGUUAAUCAAUGCCUGGUGCCCUGUCAUUCUCUCCAGUGGCUUCUUGUCUUCUGCUGGCCUCCAAAGAAACAGUGUGAAAUCAUCUGAACCUGAGACGAGUCUUUCUGGUCCCUGGCCCUGAGAAAGGGAUGAAAGAGCUCAAAUUUUGUACAAGCCAGCUGUGGAAUGUUUGGAAACACACCCAGUGUUGGGGUCAACAGCCAACUGUGCAUGUUUACUGCUUCCACCAGCACUAGUGUUAUAAACCACAGCAAGGAUAAACUUUGUAAUGCAACUUACCCUGACUUUAUCAUACCUCUGCUGUGCCUUGUCCUUCAGUUCUGCCACUGGAAGAGAGAAAGGGAGAAGGGUAAGAAGAGAGACUGGAAAUUGCUGGGGGGAAAAGCAACUUUAUAACCUUGCAAUGCCAAAUACGGUCCUGGCUUUGUAGGCCAAGCAGACACAUUUGUGACCUCUCAGCCUAUUUCUCUUUGCCAAGGGCCACUCUGCUCCCAGAGUGGCCUUGAACUCAAGAUGGCCUUCCCAGCUCCCAGACUGCUCAACUCCAUGCACACACCAGAAAGAGCAUGGCUGUCAGCACGAAAUACAUCAGCACAGAGUCUCCUCUUAGAUUUCAAGAUUGCUUCAGCUCAUGGCAGCAUUAAGACGAGACGUCAGGUUUCCCUGUCAUCCCCUCCACGCUCCAACACAAGGCUGCACUUACAGGAGCCACUCAUAUCCUGUGGGUUGAUGGUGGCUUCAGCAGGUUCAAAGGCACCAGUGCGGAGAACGUAAUCGGUGCUAAGGGCCAUGGUGUUCACCCAGUGAGCGUGGCCUUGCAAGGUGCGGCAGAGGAUGCCCUAGAAACAAAACGACCCACUUAGAGGGACAGGCAAGACAGACAGACAGACAGACAGCUAUAACCUGUGCUAGGAAGAGCAGGCAAAGUUGCAUCCAGCCGCCUUUGUCGGCAGGCUGCAGGGCUACCCGCCCCACUUACAUCCUGGCUUCUCCACACUUUGAUAGUUCUGUCCUGGGAGGAGGAGUAGAGCAAGCCAUCACCGCCCCACUUCACACAAGUCACUGACUGCGUGUGACCCGUGAGGAUUUUGUCACACCUGCCCAUCAGCGUGUCCCAGAUGCGGAUGCUGCCAUCCUUGGAAGCACUGGCCAGGUAGCGGCACUCUGGGUUUCUGAACAAAAACAACACAAAAUCCAUUUGCACAGCGCAGACAUCCCCUCCACACAGAUCUCCCAGCAUCAGUCCCAGAGGAUUUAAGGGCCCAGAAGUCAAUAAAAGACAACCUUCUCUUUUGGGUUAAGACCAGAGAGAGGCCAGGCAGUGGGCUACAGAGAGCCGGAUUCUGCAGGUAGAGGAACAGCAGGCAGAUGCAUCCUUCCAAACCGACUGUUGGGUGGCACCCUGGAAGCACUGAUCCAGCAUAAACCCAGCUCCUGUGCUUUGGUAAUUACUCUGUUAUUACAGGAGGCAGCUUCAACCCACUGACUUAUAAGGGGACCGCAAACUGACACCUUCCCUGGGCAAGGAGACUUCCUCAAGCAGCACAGACCACCAGAAUCAAAACCAUGUAUAAUAUCCCCUGCCUACACCAUACUUCGUAUCUGGCAGGAGAUGUGCUGGCCUGCAGUCCAAGUGACGCAGAGCUGCAAAGUCCAUCCUCACAGUUCAGGAAGAGCAAGCUGGACACAGCUGGAAGCUGCUGGCCAGCACCCAGUGAGAACAGGAGAACAAUUGGCCCCCAGUCCUUCAUGCAGCAUUUUUAUCAACACCUUUUUAAUGACUCACUCCCAAACCAGCAGCAGUUCCCACACCUCCUUGGGGCAGUGACUCCUAUAGCCACCGGCACUUUGGCCCCGGUAGGAAAAGGACACUCACUGCCUCCUGCUGCAUCACAGCUCUCAGGAGUGGGAGCUGCCAGAGCACCAGCUUUGUUUCCCUUUAGCUGGCUGCUGACAACAAACUGUCCUCAAAGGAGAAGCAAAACCAAGCAGCACAGCAUGCCGAGCAGUCAGGAGAUGCAGUAACAAAUGAUAGCACCACCAGCCACAUCAAUGGCAUGAGGGCAGUGCGGGGCUGAGGAAGAGCACAACCCAUCCUUUUGUGCAGGAACUGAGCACAGACUGCAGCCAGCUGGAGAUAGGGAAGUCAAGCCCAGGCAGGAGCAUCUCCCUCCUCUCCAUUUCCUGAUCCUCCUCUAUAAUCAGUUUUUGCAAAUCCAAUUAAUUGUUUGCUGGAGUUUCCUACUGGCAAAUUCAAUUUACAGGGCUCUGCUCUAACAGGACCCACCCCCCUUUCUUUUUUUUUCCCCUCCAUCGCUGUAAUGUCUUGGAUUAUGGACUACAACUAUCCCCCUCCACUCAUCUCUCACUGACAGAGCUUUAGCUGAUCGGGAUAAGGAGCUUGCACAGUUAAUCAGUGCCCAUGACAAACAGAUGCAAUCAGGAUGCAGGACAUCAGAAAGGGAGCGCUUUGCAGAAGCUGAGCUUAGGCUCCAGGUUCACAGGCUUCCCUGCUUCCAGCUCAGCACCAUGGGCAGUUUGUGCGGCACUAUAAAAACAUUAAGCAGUUUCCAUCAACAGGUCUCACUUUUAUAGGAGGGUGAGGGAAUCCGAGGCACAGCUCAACAGCAAGCAGCAGCUGGGACUCCAGAGCUGGAUGCAUUUUUCCUGCCCCACCUUGUGAGCAUUUCUUCUGAACACACUCUGUCUGCACACCAUAACAGGACAAAGGCAAACAAGAGGAAUGCCCUUCAGAUCAAGCUCAUCUUUGCCUUAAAAGUAAAAGGGAAGGAAGGCUGGGCUGGCCCCUCACUUACAUGUGGAGCGGCUCCCAGCACAGACACGUGAUCCAUUUGGAAUGGCCAGUGAGAACGCGGCCGAUCUGAUUGCCGGUGGCUGGGUCCCAGAGAAAUAUCUGCCCAAGAGAGGAAGCAAGAGGGUUGCAUCAGGCCACAUGUCAUGUGAAUCCUAGGGAUGGUUUGGGCUCCAUUUAGAAAUGAUAGGUAUCUUCAGUCUUGUGGGGAUUUACAGAGCAGAAAGGGAGGGGAACAGGAGAACUGGAUGCCUUUGCUGAUCCCAGCCACAAUCAGCUGACAUCUCAAAGCAUGAGACCCGAUCACCUUCCUCUAUGCUUCAGAUGCUGCUGCUACAAAAAUAUCUGCCCCAGCCCAAAAGCAAUCUAGCUCUCCAGAAAGCCAGCCCGAGCCUUACAGCCUGUGCCAGGGAGUUGGUGAAUGUUUGCAGAGCAUGAUGAAAGCCAGAGCGGGCUAAAUGCUACUUAUUAUCGGAUUCUGUGGGUGGGACACAUGCUGGUUUUCUGUUGCUUUUUCUCUCUCUCUAUAAAUGCUCAUCAAAAGAGCCAAGGCAUUAGUCAUAUGCUGCAAGAAACUCGGGAGAAACAACGAAAACAGAACAAGCAGCUCUCUGGGUUAGAUUAAAGCCAGAACCCGCUUGUUUCUUUGGGCUCACAUCAGUGGCCUCACAGGGCAGCUGCUCAGACACUGAGCCCAGGUCAGCAGCACUCGGCAGCUCUGCAGCUGCUGUCCUCACUCCCAGGCUGUUCAAAAGACAGAGCAAGCCAACAUCCCGCUGCAGACUAACAACUUACUGACUUGCUUUUAAUUGUGCCCACCUGCUCCUGCUUCCCCAGGCAUUUCUGGAAGCAUGUUUAUCACACAAGUUUUGCCCCAUAUCCAGGGCAGGGCUCCCCCCACUAUUCCUCUAAGAAGGAAUUUGGCUGUGUCUGAGCAGGAACACUGUAAAACAGGCUGCUGCUGCAUGUCUGGGUCACACACACAGUCACCCUGGCUUGACCAAGCGAUACCCUUUCUUGCUCCAGACAUCUCUUUCAUGAUGGAACUGUCUGCCAAGACCACGUCGAGAGCUUGGACUCUUUCCUGUACAGAGGGAAAAGUGUCUGCCACAAGACAGCAGGGCUCUUGUAGUGACACUUCUGCAAAGGCAACAGAGUGCUGCCUGGCACAGCUGAGGCACAGGCCAGUUCAGAGACACUAUGUGCUACCACUGUGAUGUGCCAACAUGCAAAGCUUCUCCAGGACACUGGGAAUCCUGCCCUGAACAACUAGACACCUGCUUGCCCCAGCUGCUAGAGAAAACAAGUCUUCAUUGCUAAUACCCUGGAGCCCAUUUACCAGGUUUUUCUGGUUUUCCUUUCUUUUCUCCUUUCUGGUUUUCUCUGGUCCCUGGUUCAGAAUAGGGCUGUGGAGUGUCUCCUGGGCUGACCACUCCAGACCCUCUGCCAGGGUACUAAUGGACCUACCUGGCUGUUUUUGCAGCCUGAGGCCAGCUUCUUGCCAUCAGGAGACCAGGCGAUGCUGAGCACCCAGUGCCUGUGACCUGGCAGAAAGAGCACAAGCAAGUGUGAGCAGAGAGCUGCACCCACCUGUCCCCAACAUCCCAGGAUACAGCAGCCACAAGAGCAGGACAAGAGUGGGGCAAACCCUUUACGUUGCUCCUGGCCAGACCUUCUUUCUCUUUUUCCUCAACUCAGUGCAAAAGAGCUGCCCCAUUCCCCAGAGGACAGUCCCAGCCCACACAGCACCCCAGGUCUGUCCUGUUUGUCCCACUGAGUGGGAUGGGGGGGAGCUGCCCUCCCAGGACACUCUGCACCCACCUUUGGCUGUGAACUGCGGCGUCUCCGUGCUGAGGUCCCAGAAGCGGACGGUGGUAUCCCCCGAGCCGCUUGCCAGGUACCUGGGACAGGAGGAAGAGGUAGUAUCAGCACAGGGCCCCGGUGGCUGCUAGCUGGUGACAUGCCCCACCCACAGCCGGACCCUCAUACUUUCCCGUGGGGCUGAAGGCGACGGAGAUGACGGCCUCGGUGUGUCCCUCCAGGGAGCUGGUGCAGCGUGUCACCGCCCGCACCCUGAACACGGCCUGUGGCUGGUAGAUGAUGUCGAGAACCUUCUCUGUCUCCACUGCCUGCCCUGCCAAGGUCUUCUCCAGUGAAACGAUGAUCUCAGCAUCAUGGAAGAAGAAGGCCAAAGGCACCGGCUCAUCCUGGAGGUGAAAUUGCAGGAGAGGUGGCAGGGGGCAGCUCCGGGCACCAGGAGCAAAGUUCGCCCCGGACCCGGCAGCCUCACCUGCUGCAGUAGCGCGUUGCACACCAGCUGCAGCUUGUCCGGAGUGAUGCUGACGGGCACGUCGAAGGGAGAGCCUAGCGGCUCGCCGGCCUCAUCGCGGAACUGGAUCAGGAGCCGCUCUACAUCCUCGGUAGGCUCCAUGCUCUGCGGGACAGCGGAUUCAGCGCCAGUACGGGGUAGGAGUAGUCCCGCAGUGCUCAGCCCCAGGCAGAGACAGCCCCUGGCGGGGAGGUGAGCCGCUCCGGGGGAGCCUCGCAGUGGGGGCACCGGCAACGACCCACCCAGGAGGCCGGAGGAGCCCUAUAGGAGACUCCAUAGCAGUCGGGAGACCGCGGGACGCCCCAGCCCCUGCUAUCCCGUACAGCCCCACCCCACUCUAGGCUCUACGUGCGGACGCAGCCCCUCCGACCCAGCUCCGGUCCCAUCCCGUCCCGUCUUCCCCCACUGGGUACCGCUGCCGGCCCCGCUCACCGCGGCCAUGUGCCCGUACGUCCCACGUGGGCCGGAAGCGGCUGCUCUGCGCGGGGAGGGGGGGAGGAGGCGCUGGACGCGGCGCUGCUGCCCCCCGGUGGCCGGCGGUGGGAGCCCCGGGUUCGGGACUGCUGGGUGCGUUCCACUCAAAUACUGUCCAGCUGGGCUGGAAAAAGACUCAACCCUACCACGCAAACCCGGCAUGAAGCAAGCAGUAAAUUCCGCGUUGCUCGUCUCGUCUGCAGCGCAGCUGCUGAAAGAAUGCGUGAUCAGGGCCCAAACCUGGGGCCUCUAAUCUGUAAAUGUGCUCUGCUAGGAGAGCAAAGCAGCUGCUGAGGUCUGAAUGUGGCCAAGGUAGGAAAAAGAAAUAACGGUGCUGUAUGCAAAAUGGGUUGCGGUUCAAGUUUCUGCACAAGACACACCUAUGCACGUGCAGUUCAGUACUGCAUCGCAGGAUGUCCCAUCUGCACCCUUCCCUACCACACUUGUGAUCACACAGCCCAGCCCAGCGAGCAAUCACAGUUCCUGGCACAGAAAUCACAGAGCACAUCACUACUUGAGCUGAGGAAAGAAUCCUCCAGUACUUCACACUACAGCAGGUCCAGAGCUACCAGUGCUCCCUUAACAUACGGAGGGCAUUAAGCAGAGCCACAGAGCAGCCAGAACUCUGCCUUCACUUGGGUUUUCUCCAUCAGCUCUCCACCCAUCAAAGAUAUCAGGCAUGGCAACAGUGAGACACCCUAAUACAACUCCCCACACCCCCCCCCAGCUCAAAAACUUGUUUAAUAUUUAUAGACGUGAUUCCUCAUUCAAUGUCAUCCAUUUCAAGACUAAGAAAUGUCUGCAAAUGUGAAGAGCAAACAUCACAGUGGUUUAUCUCUUUUUUUGAACCUCCAUUAAAAAAAAAAACAGCAUGUAAAUUCAAAUCCCAUCAAAACAGAAAAUUGACACAAAUUUUAAUAUUUAUAUAUUUUAAAUCAAAACACAAUUAAAUAUAGUAUGCUUUAAGUACAUGAAUACUUGGGCAUGAGAGAAAUAAGAGGUGGUACAUAGUACCAAAAACCUAUACACAGCCUUUUUUGCCUUUUUUUUGUUAUAUAUAGACAAUACAGUGUCUCUCUAUACAAUCAAAUAUUGCAACAGAAUAACACUUGCUAGUCAAUCAAAAUGUUUGGAACACUGGAGAUGAUUUGAGUUCUUUUGCAAAGUGAUUUUUUGCACAAGUUCAAGAAAAAGAAAGCAAUCAUGAGUGAAAUAAAAAACCCCAAGUAGAAGUGCUGUAUACUAAAAAUGCAGCGAGAUCGUAACAGAGUUACACACAGUGCUUUUGAUACUCUGUAAAAAUCAAUUCACUGGGAAAAAGGAAGGUGCUGUGGCUUUACUUAAAGGUUUCGUAUGUUGCAAGUAUUGACAGUGUCAGGAAAAAGGCGGUCAGAGGUCAUUGAAGUUAUUUUCCUUUGUAAACCAAACAUCUGGAAUUAAAUACUAUGUUGGUUUGAGGACAACAAGCUAUGCAGAAUGGCAGUAACACAUGGCAGCAAUUACUUUUUUCCUCGCUUAGGGGAUGGAAAGGAAAAAAAAUGGAGCAGUCUACUGGGUAGAAUCUCCUCAAAACGUGGUGUGCAUUCACAGCUGAGGCUCAGGAGCAGAGGGUUGCACAAGCAUAAGAUUUAGAGUCUGCUCGAGUCUGCUGCGUGUUAGAAGCAGGAGAUGACUGUAUGUGUGCAAGUGUCAGAGCUUGACAAGGAAGAGUUACACCAUCCAGGCUUUGUUCCUCAUCAUUCUACGCUGCCUUCAAAGUUAAUGUAGUUAUGAAGUAAAAUACAUUUAUCUUACAGUUGAAUACUCGUCUAUUUCAAGUAAGGAAAAUUAAAAACUUAGAACUUUUUAGGUCAUUCACUGCCAAAUGAAUUCACCGUUUCAGGUCUGCUCCUCCAAUGGCCAACGUCAGGGACAUGUUUCAUGGCCUUUGCAGUUACGUGUUUCAAAAUCACUGGUUGCAGAACUAGAAACUACAGCAAAACUCUCCCCUCCUUGUUGCAGCUUGUGUCCCGUUCCAGAUAUUUUGCUUAGGAGUCUUUUUGAGAUGGGGUCAAGUAUUUAUGAAGCUGAUCACAGUUUCUCAGUGACACAUUCAGCAAUGGUCUCUUCAUCUCUAAAAACCA